rnacentral:rRNA from 1 species
GACGAACGCUGGCGACGUGCUUAACACAUGCAAGUCGAACGGAAAGGCCCUGCUCUUGUGGGGUGCUCGAGUGGCGAACGGGUGAGUAACACGCGAGUAACCUGCCCUUGUCUUUGGGAUAAAUUCAGGAAAAUGGGGCUAAUACCGGAUAGGAGCUUCUGCUGCAUGGUGGGGGUAGGAAAGUUUCGGCGGUUGGGGAUGGACUCGCGGCUUAUGCGCUUGUUGGUGGGGUAGUGGAUUACCAAGGCUUUGAAGGGUAGCCGGCCUUGGAGGCUGACCGGCCACAUUGGGACUGAGAGACGGCGCAGACUCCUACGGGAGGCAGCAGUGGGGAAUAUUGCGCAGUGGGCGGAAGCCUGAUACAGCAACGCCGCGUUCGGGAUGACGUCCUUCUGGUGGAAAACCGCUUUCGCCUGUGACGAAGCGUGAGUGACGGUAAUGGGUAAGGAAGCACCGGCUAACUACGUG